UUGAGAUUGCAAUUUAGGCCCACGCACGCCAUAGUGAGUUUUAAAAUAAAACAAGAAGAGGAUCAAACGGUUGGUUUCAUCGUGGGAGAAAAAAACACUGGAAAACUACCAGGUAACCUAAUUUCUCUCUUCCUCUUGCUCGCGCUACCAAUGCUAGAUUUUCGAUUCCAUCAAUUUAUAAAUUUGUGCAUGUAGUUGCUAUGUGUCGAUCUUCAUUCUCUUUCGUCUUCGCCAUUUUAGUUUUCAUAUGCCAUUUAGUUUUUCUUUAUUUCUUAAUUUCCUUAGAAUAAUUUUGUCAUACGAUGAAUUUCCUUUCCCUUUCACUUGGUAGAUCUGCAUGACGAUGUUCAUCUGAAUGCCGGGGCUCUUCUUGAACUUUUCAUUUGGUAACUUUCGUGUAACGAUCGCAUAGCGGAGUGGAUAUCGCGUUAGACUCCGAAUCUAAAGGUCGUGGGUUCGAAUCCCACUGUGAUCGCUUUUUUAUUUCAAUAACAAUAAUUUUCGAUAGAAAUUUGAAAGUCUGUAUUUGAUCUGUUUUUGUUAAUUCUGGAGUAAUUCGUUUUUUUUUUUUAAAUUGCUUGGUUUGGUUAUGAUGCACAACCUUUUUUCGCCUAAAUAGUGUUUCUUGAUUCUGUCAAAUUGAAGUAAUAAAGUCAAUUGAUCAAUAAUCUAAUCGUUGAACUAUUAGAGCAAAUGUUGUUUUUGUAAGCCGUCUUAUAUAACAUGGGCAUUUUACUUGGCUGAUUUAUGAAUCUCCUAUAUAUGAUAUGCCUAUAUUCAUUGCUUAAUUGUGAAAUGAUUCAACUGAUAAGGAUGGAAAGACAAGGGAGGACCAAGGCUUGCACUUUCAAGUAACAUGUGAGGAAUUUUUUGUUGCCAAAAUAGUUGGUGACUCCGUGUUACCCUAUACAGUUUUGGAUGGUGCAAGAGAAGAGUGUAGUGAAUCCUGAAUGUGAACCUUCCGGAAUUCUGGCUCCACUUGGAUGACGUGACCAUUGAAAUAAUUAAAUUUGUGGUUUGUUGGUAUUAGGACUUCAUGUUAGAAAAUCAUUUGGGUAAAACUUAGAUAUAGUUACUUAAAUGAUUUUGGUUCUCAGCUCCCAUAAAUUAGAGUUCACCUCUAAUAAAGUUUAGCAUUAAAAAAAUUUGUAUGUUACCAUGUUACCGAAGUGAUACUUUAAUUCUAGUAUAAGAAUAACUCCAAAAUCAUAUGAUAAACUGUAUCUGACUUCCGUCAAAAUCAAAAGAUCUUGUGAAGAGGCAGCUUGUUGAACUAUUUUUUUAUAUUAAGUUCAGUCAAGCAUGCUAAGCAAAGUUGUAGGAUUUUAGGGCUAGUUGAUGUCUUCAAUUAUCAUUAAUGUGCUUGCUGGCAUGUAAUAAAAACUACGCAUUAUGGAUUUUGGUUUAUAGUUAGCUAAAGUAAUAGAUGUGAUGCUCCUUUAUGUCCACCCUCUGCCUAUCUUAUGGAGCUUGCUUGUUAUUUUAUUAAGUUACUAUUUCUAGGAGGUCAUUCAGCUGCAAGGUUACAAAAAGGAUGACUCGAAGUGUCUUAAAAUAUCGAUCAUCCAUAUCAAAGGUUGAGUAAUGAUCUCCGAUGUGGUGCCAGUAAAAGUCUGGAAAAGAAAACAUCGCCCUGAAAAUGUCCCGAUAUGGUAGGCACUCCUCCCAAUAUUUGCUUUGUGAUAGAUAAUACUGGUGAUAAUCUAUUAUGCUUUGUUAGUUAGGUGCAUACUGAUAGUGUUGAAAGAUGAUGAGCAGAGUCGUUUCCAUGAAAUUAUAGACUGAGGUCCAACUUAAAUGGUCGAAGAGUGUAGUAUACUAGCUCUCAAGCUUAAUGAGAUAAUUGAGGACGUGUUCAUGUAAAUUUUGGAAAUGUGCUUUUGCGGUUUAAGGUGCUUACUAAAAACAUAGUCUUGCUUUGUAUAUCAUUGCGAACUUUUA